GCGCCGUUUCACUCCACUGUAUGAGCGGCGUACAUCCAGAAGGAGGUUAUGUCAACACCGUCAGACUCACGGUGCGGCAGCGUGGAGACCUGCCGUAAUGCGGAUCAGCACAAAGCGGCUGACCGUGAGGCGGUUUUGCGGAGGCAUUAUCGUCAGAGUCGUGUUUAUG
rnacentral:ncRNA from 1 species